CCUACGGGAGGCAGCAGUAGGGAAUAUUGCUCAAUGGGGGAAACCCUGAAGCAGCAACGCCGCGUGGAGGAUGAAGGUUUUCGGAUUGUAAACUCCUUUUUAUAGAGCAGAAAAUGACGGUAUCUAACGAAUAAGCACCGGCCAACGCCGGUCCAGCAGCCGCGGUAAUACGGAGGGUGCCAGCGUUACUCGGAAUGACUGGGCGUAAAGAGCGCGUAGACGGGAUAGCAAGUCAGAUGUGAAAUCCUAUGGAUUAACCGUAGAACUGCAUUUGAAACUGUUAUUCUAGAGUAUGGUAGAGGUAGGUGGAAUUCUUGGUGUAGGGGUAAAAUGCGUAGAGAGUAAGAGGAAUACUCAUUGCGAAGGCGACCUGCUAAAACAUAACUGACGCUGAUGCGCGAAAGCGUGGGGAGCAAACAGGAUUAGAUACCCUUGUAGUC
rnacentral:rRNA from 1 species